rnacentral:rRNA from 1 species
UGGGGAAUUUUGGACAAUGGGGGAAACCCUGAUCCAGCCAUCCCGCGUGUGCGAUGAAGGCCUUCGGGUUGUAAAGCACUUUUGGCAGGAAAGAAACGUCGCGGGUUAAUACCCCGCGAAACUGACGGUACCUGCAGAAUAAGCACCGGCUAACUACGUGCCAGCAGCCGCGGUAAUACGUAGGGUGCAAGCGUUAAUCGGAAUUACUGGGCGUAAAGCGUGCGCAGGCGGUUCGGAAAGAAAGAUGUGAAAUCCCAGAGCUUAACUUUGGAACUGCAUUUUUAACUACCGGGCUAGAGUGUGUCAGAGGGAGGUGGAAUUCCGCGUGUAGCAGUGAAAUGCGUAGAUAUGCGGAGGAGCACCGAUGGCGAAGGCAGCCUCCUGAGAUAACACUGACGCUCAUGCACGAAAGCGUGGGGAGCAAACAGGAUUAGAUACCCUGGUAGUCCACGCCCUAAACGAUGUCAACUAGCUGUUGGGGCCUUCGGGCCUUGGUAGCGCAGCUAACGCGUGAAGUUGACCGCCUGGGGGAGUACGGUCGCAAGAUUAAAACUCAAAUGAAUUGACGGGGUCAUAGCUGUUUCCUG